rnacentral:rRNA from 1 species
AUGUCGACGGCGAAGCCCCGCCCCACCGCCACCCGCGGCGGCCUCGCCCCCGCCCCCUCCCCCUCCCCCUCCCCCGCGCAGCCCGCCGUGGUGCUGCGCAAGCCCGUCUUCACCACCAUCGACAAGCUGCUGCCGCAGACGCACGGCCACAACCUCACCGCGCGCGUCCUCUCCGCCCGCACCGUCCUCGACAAGCCCGCCGCCCGCACCCGCGUCGCUGAGUGCCUCGUCGGAGACCCCACCGCCACCGUCCUCUUCACCGCCCGCAACGGCCAGAUUGAGAUGCUGAAGCCAGGCAACACGGUGAUCUUCCGCAACGCCAGGAUCGACAUGUUCAAGGACACGAUGAGGCUGGCGGUGGACAAGUGGGGCCUGAUCGAGGUGGUCGAGGAGCCCGCUGACUUCAAGGUGAACGAGGACAACAACAUGUCGGAGAUCGAGUACGAGCUCGUGAGCGUGCCACCGAAGAAGCAGGAGCGUAAGAAGUGA